rnacentral:rRNA from 1 species
GACGGACGGUGCAAGCGUUGCUCGGAAUCAUUGGGCGUAAAGGGUGCGUAGGCGGCGCGGUAAGUCGGGUGUGAAAUCUCGGAGCUUAACUCCGAAACUGCAUUCGAUACUGCCGUGCUUGAGGACUGGAGAGGAGACUGGAAUUCAUGGUGUAGCAGUGAAAUGCGUAGAGAUCAUGAGGAAGACCAGUGGCGAAGGCGGGUCUCUGGACAGUUCCUGACACUGAGACACGAAGGCCAGGGGAGCAAACGGG